rnacentral:rRNA from 1 species
CCUACGGGUGACAGCAGUAGGGAAUCUUCCACAAUGGGCGAAAGCCUGAUGGAGCAACGCCGCGUGGGUGAAGAAGGUCUUCGGAUCGUAAAACCCUGUUGUUAGAGAAGAAAGUGCGUGAGAGUAACUGUUCACGUUUCGACGGUAUCUAACCAGAAAGCCACGGCUAACUACGUGCCAGCAGCCGCGGUAAUACGUAGGUGGCAAGCGUUAUCCGGAUUUAUUUGGCGUAAAGGGAACGCAGGCGGUCUUUUAAGUCUGAUGUGAAAGCCUUCGGCUUAACCGGAGUAGUGCAUUGGAAACUGGGAGACUUGAGUGCAGAAGAGGAGAGUGGAACUCCAUGUGUAGCGGUGAAAUGCGUAGAUAGAUGGAAGAACACCAGUGGCGAAAGCGGCUCUCUGGUCUGUAACUGACGCUGAGGUUCGAAAGCGUGGGUAGCAAACAGGAUUAGAUACCCGGGUAGUC